rnacentral:tRNA from 1 species
GUGACUUAGCUCAGUGGUUAGAGCAUUAAUAUUGAAUGUUUUGGUUGCAGGUUCAAUUCCUGCAGUGCACA